AGCAGCCGCGGUAAUUCCAGCUCCAAUAGCGUAUAUUAAAGUUGUUGUGGUUAAAAAGCUCGUAGUUGGAUCUCAACAGCCUUGAAGCGGUUAACUUUGUAGUUUUACUGCUUUAUAGGCUGUGCUUUUGCUGGAGGUUUAGGGGUGCUCUUGAUCGAGUGUCUCUGGAUGCCAGCAGGUUUACUUUGAAAAAAUUAGAGUGCUCAAAGCAGGCUAAAAUGCCUGAAUAUUCGUGCAUGGAAUAAUAGAAUAGGAUGUCGAUCCUAUUUUGUUGGUUUUCGGGACUCGACAUAAUGAUAAAUAGGGACAGUCGGGGGCAUUUGUAUUCAAACGACAGAGGUGAAAUUCUUGGACCGUUUGAAGACAAACUACUGCGAAAGCAUUUGCCAAGAAUGUUUUCAUUAAUCAAGAACGAAAGUUAGAGGUUCGAAGGCGAUUAGAUACCGCCCUAGUUCUAACCAUAAACGAUGCCAGCUAGCGAUCUGCCUGCGUUUUUACUGUAGACUGGGCAGGAAGCUUCCGGGAAACCAAAGCAUUUGGGUUCCAGGGGAAGUAUGGUUGCAAAGCUGAAACUUAAAGGAAUUGACGGAAGGGCACCACCAGGAGUGGAGCCUGUGGCUUAAUUUGACUCAACACGGGAAAUCUCACCAGGCCCGGACACUGGAAGGAUUGACAGAUUGAUAGCUCUUUCUUGAUUCGGUGGGUGGUGGUGCAUGGCCGUUCUUAGUUGGUGGAGUGAUUUGUCUGGUUAAUUCCGAUAACGAACGAGACUCUGUCCUGCUAAAUAGUUUCUACUUCUCUUUUGAGUAGAAAUUUCUUCUUAGAGGGACUGGUGACUCUUAGUCACACGAGAUUGAGCAAUAACAGGUCUGUGAUGCCCAA
rnacentral:rRNA from 1 species